UUUUUCAUAGUGCAUACUCACUAUAUCUUAAUUUUUUAUUUUCUUUUAUUAUUGAUCUCUGAAAUUUCAGUUGUUUCAAGAACUACCUGAAUCAGCUGUAACACAGACAGUGUUUAGCGUCUUGAGACCAAAUAAUGUUGAAGCUGACAGCGGGAACUAUUUCAGGUCUGCAAGCUGAUUCUUAGUGAUUCAUCAGGUAUGACGGUGCUUAUCAGAGGUUAAUACCGAAAGAAAGACUGAGAAAGAUUCCACUUAAAGCCAAACAUAGAGGAACCAUUUCUUUGGGUUGCUGUUCCCAAGGGCCAAUUACCUCAUGUUCAUCAAGAGGUCACUGCUACAUAUUAACGCUGGUAGACAAUACUGCUACAGUAGCAGAAAUAUUGUAGAGCAUCUACUCAAGGCAAGGAUUUCCUCAUAAAUGCUUGCUGAUAGAGGAACUCCAAUUACCUCAGAGGUAAUGAAGGAAGUUAGCCGACUUUUUUCAAUCCGUAUCAUCCACAGUGUUAGUCCAGGCCUGCCAGCCGCUGUGCAGCGCCAGAUCGACGAGGCUCCAUCCCUUUGAUUGUUGAACGCCAAACUGGGUAGCAGCAACUUCCAUCUUUUAAUGUCUUUUCAUCCAACACGGCUGGGGUUUAAACUUUCGACCCCCCCGGUUGUGAGACAGAUGCUCUACCAACUGACCCAACACACCGGUAGGGAAGGCGGGGUAAGUUGAGCCACCAUCCCCAGGCCAAUAAUGAAUGAGUCAGAC